GACGAACCGUGCGAACGUUGUUCGGAUUCACUGGGCUUAAAGGGCGCGUAGGCGGGUGAUCAAGUCCGGGGUGAAAUCCUCCAGCUUAACUGGAGAAUAGCCUUGGAUACUGGUCGUCUUGAGGGAGGUAGGGGCAUGUGGAACUUCCGGUGGAGCGGUGAAAUGCGUAGAUAUCGGAAGGAACGCCGGUGGCGAAAGCGACGUGCUGGACCUCUUCUGACGCUGAGGCGCGAAAGCCAGGGGAGCAAACGG
rnacentral:rRNA from 1 species